AAUGAACGCUGGCGGCAUGCCUUACACAUGCAAGUCGAACGGCAGCAUGACCUAGCUUGCUAGGUUGAUGGCGAGUGGCGAACGGGUGAGUAAUGCAUCGGAACGUGCCUUUUAGUGGGGGAUAACGUAGCGAAAGUUACGCUAAUACCGCAUAUUCUCUGAGGAGGAAAGCAGGGGACCUUCGGGCCUUGCGCUAGAAGAGCGGCCGAUGUCGGAUUAGCUAGUUGGUGAGGUAAAGGCUCACCAAGGCAACGAUCCGUAGCGGGUCUGAGAGGAUGAUCCGCCACACUGGGACUGAGACACGGCCCANACUCCUACGGGAGGCA
rnacentral:rRNA from 1 species